rnacentral:rRNA from 1 species
GAUGAACGCUGGCGGCGUGCCUAAUACAUGCAAGUCGAGCGAACAGACGAGGAGCUUGCUCCUCUGACGUUAGCGGCGGACGGGUGAGUAACACGUGGAUAACCUACCUAUAAGACUGGGAUAACUUCGGGAAACCGGAGCUAAUACCGGAUAAUAUAUUGAACCGCAUGGUUCAAUAGUAAAAUACGGUUUUGCUGUCACUUAUAGAUGGAUCCGCGCCUCAUUAGCUAGUUGGUAAGGUAACGGCUUACCAAGGCAACGAUGCGUAGCCGACCUGAGAGGGUGAUCGGCCACACUGGAACUGAGACACGGUCCAGACUCCUACGGGAGGCAGCAGUAGGGAAUCUUCCGCAAUGGGCGAAAGCCUGACGGAGCAACGCCGCGUGAGUGAUGAAGGUCUUCGGAUCGUAAAACUCUGUUAUUAGGGAAGAACAAAUGUGUAAGUAACUAUGCACGUCUUGACGGUACCUAAUCAGAAAGCCACGGCUAACUACGUG